CCGGCCAUGCGGAGCCGCCUCGAGAGCCAAGCUGGACGGAGCCCACUGCCGGGGAAGAGAAGGCCAGGUGGUUUCCUAGCAAUGAUACCUGAGUUGUGCGCUCCAGACGGGGCCCUAAAUUAAUCGCCAGUCUCUAUUUAUGAGGAAGUCAUGAUCUCGCGGUUUGUGAGUUCGAGCCCGGCGUCGGGCUCUGUG